GACGAACGCUGGCGGCGCGCUUAACACAUGCAAGUCGAGCGAGAACCAGGCCUUCGGGCCUGGGGACAGCGGCGAACGGGUGAGUAACACGUGGGUAAUCUGCCCUCGGUUCCGGAAUAGCCCGGGGAAACCCGGAUUAAUGCCGGAUAGCCUCUUGAGCUUUCGGGCUCUCGAGAAAAGGUAGCUUUGGCCUCUGACCGAGGAUGAGCCCGCGGCGGAUUAGCUUGUUGGCGGGGUAACGGCCCACCAAGGCAACGAUCCGUAGCUGGUCUGAGAGGACGAUCAGCCACACUGGGACUGAGACACGGCCCAGACUCCUACGGGAGGCAGCAGUGGGGAAUCUUGCGCAAUGGGCGAAAGCCUGACGCAGCGACGCCGC
rnacentral:rRNA from 1 species